rnacentral:rRNA from 1 species
UGGGGGGGGGCUUUACACAUGCAAGUCGAACGGGAUCCAUCAGGCUUUGCUUGGUGGUGAGAGUGGCGAACGGGUGAGUAAUGCGUGACCGACCUGCCCCAUACACCGGAAUAGCUCCUGGAAACGGGUGGUAAUGCCGGAUGCUCCGACUCCUCGCAUGGGGUGUCGGGAAAGAUUUCAUCGGUAUGGGAUGGGGUCGCGUCCUAUCAGGUAGUCGGCGGGGUAACGGCCCACCGAGCCUACGACGGGUAGCCGGCCUGAGAGGGCGACCGGCCACAUUGGGACUGAGAUACGGCCCAGACUCCUACGGGAGGCAGCAGUGGGGAAUAUUGCACAAUGGGCGCAAGCCUGAUGCAGCGACGCCGCGUGCGGGAUGACGGCCUUCGGGUUGUAAACCGCUUUUGAUCGGGAGCAAGCCUUCGGGUGAGUGUACCUUUCGAAUAAGCACCGGCUAACUACGUGCCAGCAGCCGCGGUAAUACGUAGGGUGCAAGCGUUAUCCGGAAUUAUUGGGCGUAAAGGGCUCGUAGGCGGUUCGUCGCGUCCGGUGUGAAAGUCCAUCGCUUAACGGUGGAUCUGCGCCGGGUACGGGCGGGCUGGAGUGCGGUAGGGGAGACUGGAAUUCCCGGUGUAACGGUGGAAUGUGUAGAUAUCGGGAAGAACACCAAUGGCGAAGGCAGGUCUCUGGGCCGUUACUGACGCUGAGGAGCGAAAGCGUGGGGAGCGAACAGGAUUAGAUACCCUGGUAGUCCACGCCGUAAACGGUGGAUGCUGGAUGUGGGGCCCGUUCCACGGGUUCCGUGUCGGAGCUAACGCGUUAAGCAUCCCGCCUGGGGAGUACGGCCGCAAGGCUAAAACUCAAAGAAAUUGACGGGGGCCCGCACAAGCGGCGGAGCAUGCGGAUUAAUUCGAUGCAACGCGAAGAACCUUACCUGGGCUUGACAUGUUCCCGACAGCCGUAGAGAUAUGGCCUCCCUUCGGGGCGGGUUCACAGGUGGUGCAUGGUCGUCGUCAGCUCGUGUCGUGAGAUGUUGGGUUAAGUCCCGCAACGAGCGCAACCCUCGCCCUGUGUUGCCAGCACGUCAUGGUGGGAACUCACGGGGGACCGCCGGGGUCAACUCGGAGGAAGGUGGGGAUGACGUCAGAUCAUCAUGCCCCUUACGUCCAGGGCUUCACGCAUGCUACAAUGGCCGGUACAACGGGAUGCGACACGGCGACGUGGAGCGGAUCCCUGAAAACCGGUCUCAGUUCGGAUUGGAGUCUGCAACCCGACUCCAUGAAGGCGGAGUCGCUAGUAAUCGCGGAUCAGCAACGCCGCGGUGAAUGCGUUCCCGGGCCUUGUACACACCGCCCGUCAAGUCAUGAAAGUGGGUAGCACCCGAAGCCGGUGGCCUAACCCUUUGUGGAUGGAGCCGUCUAAGGGA